GAUGAAGAACGUAGCGAAAUGCGAUAAGUAGUGUGAAUUGCAGAAUUCAGUGAAUCAUCGAAUCUUUGAACGCACAUUGCGCCCUUUGGUAUUCCGGAGGGCAUGCCUGUUCGAGCGUCAUUAUCACCCCUCAAGCCCGGCUUGUUGUUGGAUGCAGCGCUUAUCCCGCUCCUCCCAAAGAUAAUGACGGCGUCUGCGACGACUCCUGUACACUGAGCUUUCGGGCACGUACACGGCUAGAAGUCCAGACCCGGUCGCCGUCCCCCCCGCGGGGACACCCAUUACCACAAGGUUGACCUCGGAUCAGGUAGGAAUACCCGCUGAACUUAAGCAUAUCAAUAAGCGGAGGA
rnacentral:misc_RNA from 1 species